GGAGGAAGUAGAGAGACGACGUUGGAAGUGGCAGCAGAGGAGUGCCUUCACCUCAUUCCCUGAAACAUGAGAGAAUCAAUGAGAAGAAGAUUCUAGAAGUCACCAACAGGAUCAUCGAUCUGCUGACAGGAGAGGUUCCUAUAAGGUGUCGGGAUGUCACUGUCUAUUUCUCCAUGAAGGAGUGGGAUUGUUUAGAAGGACACGAGGAUCUCUACAAGGACAUCAUGAUGGAGAAUCAGCCGCCCCUCACAUCACCGGGUAAGAGGAGACUU